rnacentral:rRNA from 1 species
CACGUAGGGUGCGAGCGUUGUCCGGAAUUAUUGGGCGUAAAGAGCGUGUAGGCGGCUAUACAGGUCCGUUGUGAAAACUGGAGGCUUAACCUCCAGACGUCGAUGGAAACCGUAUGGCUAGAGUCCGGAAGAGGAGAGUGGAAUUCCUGGUGUAGCGGUGGAAUGCGCAGAUAUCAGGAGGAACACCAAUAGCGAAGGCAGCUCGCUGGGACGGUACUGACGCUAAGGCGCGAAAGCGUGGGGAGCGAACAGG